rnacentral:rRNA from 1 species
UACGGAGGGUGCAAGCGUUAUCCGGAAUCACUGGGUUUAAAGGGUGCGUAGGCUGCUGGAUAAGUCAGGGGUGAAAGUUUGUCGCCUAACGAUAGAAUUGCCUUUGAUACUGUGCGGCUUGAAAUUAGGUGAGGUUGGCGGAAGGUGACAUGUAGCGGUGAAAUGCGUAGAUAUGUCAUAGAACACCGAUUGCGAAGGCAGCUGGCUAAACUAAAUUUGACGCUGAGGCACGAAAGCGUGGGUAGCAAACAGG